GUGCUAUUCCCUCCGUCCGGAAAUACUUGUCUUAAAAAUGGUUGAAAAUGGAUGUAUCUAUAACUAAAAUAAGUCUAGAUACAACCAUUUCUAGGACAAGUAUUUUCGGACGGAGGGAGUACAUA
rnacentral:pre_miRNA from 1 species